rnacentral:rRNA from 1 species
CCUACGUGUGGCAGCAGUGAGGAAUAUUGGUCAAUGGGCGCGAGCCUGAACCAGCCAAGUAGCGUGAAGGAUGACUGCCCUACGGGUUGUAAACUUCUUUUAUAAAGGAAUAAAGUGAGGCACGUGUGCCUUUUUGUAUGUACUUUAUGAAUAAGGAUCGGCUAAAUCCGUGCCAGCAGCCGCGGUAAUACGGAGGAUCAGAGCGUUAUCCGGAUUUAUUGGGUUUAAAGGGAGCGUAGAUGGGUUGUUAAGUCAGUUGUGAAAGUUUGCGGGUCAACCGUAAAAUUGCAAUUGAUACUGGCAGUCUUGAGUACAGUUGAGGUAGGCGGAAUUCGUGGUGUAGCGGUGAAAUGCUUAGAUAUCACGAAGAACUCCGAUUGCGAAGGCAGCUUACUAAACUGCCACUGACAUUGAUGCUCGAAAGUGUGGGUAUCAAACAGGAUUAGAUACCCUAGUAGUC